rnacentral:rRNA from 1 species
CAUCCAACGCGUUGGGAGCUCUCCCAUAUGGUCGACCUGCAGGCGGCCGCGAAUUCACUAGUGAUUAGAGUUUGAUCAUGGCUCAGAUUGAACGCUGGCGGCAGGCCUAACACAUGCAAGUCGAGCGGCAGCGGGGGGAAGCUUGCUUCCCCGCCGGCGAGCGGCGGACGGGUGAGUAAUGUCUGGGGAUCUGCCCGAUGGAGGGGGAUAACCACUGGAAACGGUGGCUAAUACCGCAUAACCUCUUUGGAGUAAAGUGGGGGACCUUCGGGCCUCACGCCAUCGGAUGAACCCAGAUGGGAUUAGCUAGUAGGUGGGGUAAUGGCUCACCUAGGCGACGAUCCCUAGCUGGUCUGAGAGGAUGACCAGCCACACUGGGACUGAGACACGGCCCAGACUCCUACGGGAGGCAGCAGUGGGGAAUAUUGCACAAUGGGCGCAAGCCUGAUGCAGCCAUGCCGCGUGUAUGAAGAAGGCCUUCGGGUUGUAAAGUACUUUCAGCGGGGAGGAAGGCAACAGCGUGAAUAGCGCUGUUGAUUGACGUUACCCGCAGAAGAAGCACCGGCUAACUCCGUGCCAGCAGCCGCGGUAAUACGAAUCGAAUUCCCGCGGCCGCCAUGGCGGCCGGGA